rnacentral:rRNA from 1 species
CCUACGGGUGGCAGCAGUGGGGAAUAUUGGACAAUGGGGGCAACCCUGAUCCAGCCAUGCCGCGUGUGUGAAGAAGGCCCUCGGGUUGUAAAGCACUUUCAGUGAGGAAGAACGCCUGGUGGUUAAUACCCAUCAGGAAAGACAUCACUCACAGAAGAAGCACCGGCUAACUCCGUGCCAGCAGCCGCGGUAAUACGGAGGGUGCGAGCGUUAAUCGGAAUUACUGGGCGUAAAGCGCGCGUAGGUGGCUUGAUAAGCCGGUUGUGAAAGCCCCGGGCUCAGCCUGGGAACGGCAUCCGGAACUGUCAAGCUAGAGUGCAGGAGAGGAAGGUAGAAUUCCCGGUGUAGCGGUGAAAUGCGUAGAGAUCGGGAGGAAUACCAGUGGCGAAGGCGGCCUUCUGGACUGACACUGACACUGAGGUGCGAAAGCGUGGGUAGCAAACAGGAUUAGAUACCCCUGUAGUC